AUUGAACGCUGGCGGCAUGCUUUACACAUGCAAGUCGAACGGUAACAGGGAGCUUGCUCCGCUGACGAGUGGCGAACGGGUGAGUAAUGCGUCGGAACGUGCCGAGUAGUGGGGGAUAACGCAUCGAAAGGUGUGCUAAUACCGCAUACGAACUGAGGUUGAAAGUGGGGGACCUUCGGGCCUCACGCUAUUCGAGCGGCCGACGUCUGAUUAGCUAGUAGGUGAGGUAAAGGCGCAACUAGGCGACGAUCAGUAGCGGGUCUGAGAGGAUGAUCCGCCACACUGGGACUGAGACACGGCCCAGACUCCUACGGGAGGCAGCAGUGGGGAAUUUUGGACAAUGGGCGCAAGCCUGAUCCAGCCAUGCCGCGUGUCUGAAGAAGGCCUUCGGGUUGUAAAGGACUUUUGUCUGGGAGCAAAUACCCGGUGUUAAUAGCGCCGGGGGCUGAGAGUACCAGAAGAAUAAGCACCGGCUAACUACGUGCCAGCCGCCGCAGUAACAC
rnacentral:rRNA from 1 species